UUUCUCGCAGGUGGGCAAAUUAUGCGUGAAGAAUCUCUGAGAUUGGCAUCUACUUCUUGUCAACCUCUUCCAAACACCAUGUGCCAGGAAGAAUCAUACUGUGUUCAAUCUACUGGAGCAGUUGUGACUCUAAACUCUAGUGUUCAAUUGAUUUACUUUUUCUGCUCAAAGCUCCCAUCGGAUGAGUCUGUUUUCUAUCUUAGAUAAGGUUUUCUUUUGGUUCAUAUCAUGAAACAUUCUCUGGCGUAAAUACUAACAGAUUGUACUUCCAUAUGGCAGGUAUUUUAAACCUGUACCAAGAUUCAAUAUUGACAAGGCAUUGGGUACAUGUACCCUGCAUCUUCCAAAGAGCAGUCCUAUACAAACAAUUUAUGCAGAAGGAGAAGGUUCUGUUCUCAAGCG
rnacentral:lncRNA from 1 species